AUAAUGUAUUAAAUAUUCAAUACCAAACAGCCGGCACAUGUGAAACAGUAAAGACCUGAUUUGGAUUCUUGCUAACAUAUAACCAAAGCGAAACAUUGUAUGAAAUAUUUUAACUUUUAUUAUUCUAAUAAUGUGUGCGAAUCACUUGUUGAAACUUUGUAAUAUGAGAUACAGGAUGUUGCAUGCAGGUUCAAAUUUGUUAAAUGCAUAUAUACAGUCUGCUAGCUUUUGAGAAGUAAAAAGAAUCUUUAGCAAUUCUAAAAUGUUCCUGUUCCACUUUCCAAAAAUUACAACAUAUUUUCUCUGUAAAUCAUCAAAAAUUAAAUAUAUACACCAUACUUUAUAUAACAUUUAUUACUAAAAAUAUGCAACAAAGCUUAAUGAUCAAUAAAAAGCUGACAUGGAAUAGUGCUGAGGCAAGCAAUUGAGAUACCUUAAGGCUGUAAAGCUGUAUGUAUCCUUAUUAAAUUCUAUAAUGUAAAAAUAAAUCAUUACUGCUUCAAAAGUCAGCUUUAGAAAUGCUUUGUUUGGUCUGAUUGUUUACUAACACUAACUGUAUAGAACUGCUUUGUGCAGAAAUGUGAAAUAUAUAAUAAGCCAAAAAGGUAGCAAGUUUCUAGGACAACAAAACUCAGCUAACAUAAUCAGCACUUUCAUAAAUGUUUGACAACAUUGCACACAUUUGUGAACAUUGAACUUUACAAACGGUGCAUUUGCCUUUCUGGUACUUCAACCAUCUGAGUUCACACGUCAUCUAAUGCCAACUUUAAAAAUAGUUUUGAAUGAAAUGGUUUUAAACAGAUGCAGUGGCAUUAUUGCUGAUAGAAUAUGAACAAAAGAUUGUUUGUGACUUCCACACAUGGAUAUCAGGCACAAGCAACCUUCAGAUAAGAGGUCAUCUCUUACCACUCAACAACAACAUGCUUAGCUGCAGUAUCCAAUCAUUACCAACAUUUGUGGAAAACAAUUGGCUACUGAAGAUGGUCUUCAAGGAUACUAAGAAAAUCAUUAUGUUGGCUAUGUCAGUAGGCAAAUACCAUUCAAAAGUAUACAAUAUCACUUGGACUUCCUUUUGAAUCAGGAGUCUCAUUGCAAUCAAAUUCCAGAUAAUAAAUUCCAGCAGAAUUGUGGCAGAACAAGGAUGAUGAUGAUGGAAUUCUUCUUUAAUUUUGAUUUGUUCUUACACUGGUGAUGAAAAAUAACUGAAAACCUUAAUUCAAUGUAUCAGUUCAGAAAAAAUUAUCUUGUCGGUCUAACUUACAUUUCAGAAAUUUCUGAGCAUUCAGUUAAGAAUAUAGAAAGUUGAGUCCAGAAAUAAAAUAUUAGCAAUUCUUAAAUUUUUAAUUUUUAAAAUUUUUAAAAUUUGCGCCAAUUGAACUCAGCUCAACGCGAAUAGGAAAAUACAAUGUAUUAAGAAAAAAUGUAUUCUGCAACUUGUUAAAUGCACUGGCUUCAAUAUUUCUCAAAAACGUUAUUGUCUCCUUGUGCUGUGCGACAGUUUCUGUUCCGGAAUUGAAUUAGCAAUUGCCCUUAGAGUUCUAUUGCAUUCUAGCACCCUGUUAUUAUAUUCCACUUUAUAAAAAGAAAUUGUUUUUCAUUUAAAA